AACGAACGCUGGCGGCAUGCCUAACACAUGCAAGUCGAACGACACCUUCGGGUCUAGUGGCGCACGGGGGCGUAACGCGUGGGAACCGGCCCUAAGGCUCGGAAUAACUCCCCGAAAGGGGUGAUAAUACCGGAUAAUGUCUUCGGACCAUAGAUUUAUCGCAAUUGGAUGGGCCCGCGUUGGAUUAGCCAGUUGGUAGGGUAAAAGCCGACCAAGGCGACGAUCCAUAGCUGGGCUGUGAGGAUGGUCAGCCACUCUGGGACUGAGACACGGCCCAGACUCCUACGGGAUGCAGCAGUGGGGAAUAUUGGACAAUGGUCGAAUUCCUGAUCCAGCUAUGCCGCGUGAGUGCUGAUGGCCUUAGGGUUGUAAAGCUCUUUUACCCGGGAUGACUAUGACGGUACCGGGAGAAUAAGCUCCGGCUAACUCCGUG
rnacentral:rRNA from 1 species